rnacentral:rRNA from 1 species
AGUGAACGCCGGCGGUAGGCCUAACACAUGCAAGUCGAACGGCAGCACAGGAGAGCUUGCUCUCUGGGUGGCGAGUGGCGGACGGGUGAGGAAUACAUCGGAAUCUACUUUUUCGUGGGGGAUAACGUAGGGAAACUUACGCUAAUACCGCAUACGACCUACGGGUGAAAGCAGGGGACCUUCGGGCCUUGCGCGAUUGAAUGAGCCGAUGUCGGAUUAGCUAGUUGGCGGGGUAAGGGCCCACCAAGGCGACGAUCCGUAGCUGGUCUGAGAGGAUGAUCAGCCACACUGGAACUGAGACACGGUCCAGACUCCUACGGGAGGCAGCAGUGGGGAAUAUUGGACAAUGGGCGCAAGCCUGAUCCAGCCAUACCGCGUGGGUGAAGAAGGCCUUCGGGUUGUAAAGCCCUUUUGUUGGGAAAGAAAUCCAGCUGGCUAAUACCCGGUUGAGAUGACGGUACCCAAAGAAUAAGCACCGGCUAACUUCGUGCCAGCAGCCGCCGUAA